rnacentral:rRNA from 1 species
AAUUCGAUUGUUUGAUCAUGGCUCAGGAUAAACGCUGGCGGCGUGCCUAACACAUGCAAGUCGAACGCCCUUUCGCUUCGGUGAGAGGGAGUGGCGGACGGGUGAGUAGCACAUGGGUACCUACCUUGAGGUGAGGAAUACCACCGAGAAAUCGGUGACAAGACCGCAUACGCUCGGGCAACCGAGCAAAGCUCCUUUUCGGAGGGGCGCCCCAAGAUGGGCCUGUGCCUGAUUAGCUAGUUGGUGGGGUAAGAGCCCACCAAGGCGACGAUCAGUAGCUGGUCUGAGAGGAUGAUCAGCCACACUGGGAUUGAGAACGGCCCAGACUCCUACGGGGGGCUGCAGUGAGGAAUUUUCGGCAAUGGGGGCAACCCUGACCGAGCAACGCCGCGUGCAGGAUGACCCUUUUCGGAGCGUAAACUGCUUUUCUCGAGGACGAGGAUGGACGGUACUCGAGGAAGAAGCCCCGGCUAACUACGUGCCAGCAGCCGCGGUAAUACGUAGGGGGCGAGCGUUGUCUGGAGUUACUGGGCGUAAAGGGCCCGCAGGCGGUCGUCUCAGUUCCCCCUGACAAUCCUCGGCUUAACCGAGGAGGGCGUGGGAAGACGGGACGACUUGAGGCAGAGAGAGGGACAGGGAAUUCCGGGUGGAGUGGUGAAAUGCGUAGAUAUCCGGAGGAACACCAAAGGC